rnacentral:rRNA from 1 species
UACGAAGGGGGCUAGCGUUGCUCGGAAUCACUGGGCGUAAAGCGCACGUAGGCGGCUUGGUAUGUCGGGUGUGAAAUCCCCGGGCUCAACCUGGGAACUGCAUCCGAAACUGCCUUGCUAGAGUAUGGGAGAGGGAAGUGGAAUUUCCGGUGUAGCGGUGAAAUGCGUAGAUAUCGGAAGGAACAUCAGUGGCGAAAGCGGCUUCCUGGUCCAGCACCGACGUUCAGGCACGAAAGCGUGGGGAGCAAACAGG